GACGAACGCUGGCGGCGCGCCUAACACAUGCAAGUCGAACGGAGUUAUUUGAAAGCUUGCUUUUGGAUAACUGAGUGGCGGACGGGUGAGUAACGCGUGGGUAACCUGCCUCAUACAGGGGGAUAACAGUUAGAAAUGGCUGCUAAUACCGCAUAAGACCACAGUACUGCAUGGUACAGUGGUAAAAACUCCGGUGGUAUGAGAUGGACCCGCGUCUGAUUAGCUAGUUGGUGGGGUAACGGCUCACCAAGGCGACGAUCAGUAGCCGACCUGAGAGGGUGACCGGCCACAUUGGGACUGAGACACGGCCCAA
rnacentral:rRNA from 1 species